GAUGAAGAACGUAGCGAAAUGCGAUAAGUAAUGUGAAUUGCAGAAUUCAGUGAAUCAUCGAAUCUUUGAACGCACAUUGCGCCCCUUGGUAUUCCGAGGGGCAUGCCUGUUCGAGCGUCAUUAUAACCCCUCAAGCUCAGCUUGGUGUUGGGGCCUGCCGCACGGACAGCCCUUAAAAUCAGUGGCGGUGCUAUCUGGCUCUAAGCGUAGUAAUUCUUCUCGCUAUAGAGUCCCGGUGGAUGCUUGCCAUUAACCCCCAAUUUUCUAUGGUUGACCUCGGAUCAGGUAGGGAUACCCGCUGAACUUAAGCAUAUCAAUAAGCGGAGGA
rnacentral:misc_RNA from 1 species